AUUGAACGCUGGCGGCAGGCCUAACACAUGCAAGUCGAGCGGAGCGGCGGACGGGCGAGUAUUGCCUAGGAAUCUGACUGGCAGUGGAGGAUGGCGUCCGGUAACGGGAGCUAAUACCGCAUCCUAUCAGUUGUGCCUAGGUCGGAUUAGCUUGUUGGUGGGGUAAAGGCUUACAAAGGCGACGAGCCGUAACUGGUCUGUGAGGACGAUCAGUCACACUGGAACUGAGACACGGUCCAGACUCCUACGGGAGGCAGCAGUGGGGAAUAUUGCACAAUGGGCGAAAGCCUGAUCCAGCCAUGCCGCGUGUGUGAUGAAGGUCUUCGGAUUGUAAAGUACUGUUAGUUGGGAGGCGUUACCAACAGAAUAAGCACCGGCUAACUUCGUGCCAGCAGCCGCGGUAAUAC
rnacentral:rRNA from 1 species